CAGGAUGAACGCUAGCGGCAGGCCUAACACAUGCAAGUCGAGGGGCAUCGGGAGUAGCAAUACUUGCCGGCGACCGGCGCAAGGGUGCGUAACGCGUGAGCAACAUGCCCGUAUCAGGGGGAUAAUCCAUGGAAACGUGGUCUAAUACCCCAUAGUAAUUAUGUAAGGCAUCUUAUAUAAUUUUAAAGCUUUGGUGGAUACGGAUUGGCUCGCGUGACAUUAGCUAGAUGGUAAGGUAACGGCUUACCAUGGCUACGAUGUCUAGGGGUUCUGAGAGGAAGGUCCCCCACACUGGAACUGAGACACGGUCCAGACUCCUACGGGAGGCAGCAGUGAGGAAUAUUGGACAAUGGAUGGAAAUCUGAUCCAGCCAUGCCGCGUGCAGGAAGAACCGGCCCUAUGGGUUGUAAACUGCUUUUGUAUGGGAGCAAUAAGGGCUACGCGUAGUCCGAUGAGAGUACCAUACGAAUAAGCACCGGCUAACUCCGUGCCAGCAGCUGC
rnacentral:rRNA from 1 species